CCUACGGGAGGCAGCAGUAGGGAAUAUUGCUCAAUGGGGGAAACCCUGAAGCAGCAACGCCGCGUGGAGGAUGAAGGUCUUCGGAUUGUAAACUCCUUUUGUUAGAGAAGAUAAUGACGGUAUCUAACGAAUAAGCAUCGGCUAACUACGUGCCAGCAGCCGCGGUAAUACGGAGGGUGCAAGCGUGACUCGGAAGCACUGGGCGUAAAGAGCGCGUAGGCGGGAUAGCAAGUCAGAUGUGAAAUCCUAUGGCUUAACCAUAGAACUGCAUUUGAAACUGGUAUUCUAGAGUAUGGGAGAGGUAGGUGGAAUUCUUGGUGUAGGGGUAAAAUCCGUAGAGAUCAAGAGGAAUACUCGUGGCGAAGGCGACCUGCUGGAACGUAACUGACGCUGAUGCGCGAAAGCGUGGGGAGCAAACAGGAUUAGAUACCCCUGUAGUC
rnacentral:rRNA from 1 species